AGUCGAGCGGUAGAGAGAAGCUUGCUUCUCUUGAGAGCGGCGGACGGGUGAGUAAUGCCUAGGAAUCUGCCUGGUAGUGGGGGAUAACGUUCGGAAACGGACGCUAAUACCGCAUACGUCCUACGGGAGAAAGCAGGGGACCUUCGGGCCUUGCGCUAUCAGAUGAGCCUAGGUCGGAUUAGCUAGUUGGUGGGGUAAUGGCUCACCAAGGCGACGAUCCGUAACUGGUCUGAGAGGAUGAUCAGUCACACUGGAACUGAGACACGGUCCAGACUCCUACGGGAGGCAGCAGUGGGGAAUAUUGGACAAUGGGCGAAAGCCUGAUCCAGCCAUGCCGCGUGUGUGAAGAAGGUCUUCGGAUUGUAAAGCACUUUAAGUUGGGAGGAAGGGCAGUAAAUUAAUACUUUGCUGUUUUGACGUUACCGACAGAAUAAGCACCGGCUAACUCUGUGCCAGCAGCCGCGGUAAUACAGAGGGUGCAAGCGUUAAUCGGAAUUACUGGGCGUAAAGCGCGCGUAGGUGGUUCGUUAAGUUGGAUGUGAAAUCCCCGGGCUCAACCUGGGAACUGCAUUCAAAACUGACGAGCUAGAGUAUGGUAGAGGGUGGUGGAAUUUCCUGUGUAGCGGUGAAAUGCGUAGAUAUAGGAAGGAACACCAGUGGCGAAGGCGACCACCUGGACUGAUACUGACACUGAGGUGCGAAAGCGUGGGGAGCAAACAGGAUUAGAUACCCUGGUAGUCCACGCCGUAAACGAUGUCAACUAGCCGUUGGGAGCCUUGAGCUCUUAGUGGCGCAGCUAACGCAUUAAGUUGACCGCCUGGGGAGUACGGGCCGCAAGGUUAAAACUCAAAUGAAUUGACGGGGGCCCGCACAAGCGGUGGGAGCAUGUGGUUUAAUUCGAAGCAACGCGAAGAACCUUACCAGGGCCUUGACAUCCAAUGAACUUUCUAGAGAUAGAUUGGUGCCUUCGGGAACAUUGAGACAGGUGCUGCAU
rnacentral:rRNA from 1 species